rnacentral:rRNA from 1 species
AGUGAACGCUGGCGGUAGGCCUAACACAUGCAAGUCGAACGGCGGCACAGGAGAGCUUGCUCUCUAGGUGGCGAGUGGCGGACGGGUGAGGAAUACAUCGGAAUCUACUCUGUCGUGGGGGAUAACGUAGGGAAACUUACGCUAGUACCGCAUACGACCUACGGGUGAAAGCAGGGGACCUUCGGGCCUUGCGCGAUUGAAUGAGCCGAUGUCGGAUUAGCUGGUUGGCGGGGUAAAGGCCCACCAAGGCGACGAUCCGUAGCUGGUCUGAGAGGAUGCUCAGACACACUGAGACGGAGAAACGGGCCAGACUCCUACGGGAGGCAGCGGUGGGGAAUAUUGGACAAUGGGCGCAAGCCUGAUCCAGCCAUACCGCGUGGGUGAAGAAGGCCUUCGGGUUGUAAAGCCCUUUUGUUGGGAAAGAAAUCCAGCUGGCUAAUACCCGGUUGGGAUGACGGUACCCAAAGAAUAAGCACCGGCUAACUUCGUGCCAGCAGCCGCAGUAA